GCCUGGAUAGCUCAGUUGGUUAGAGCAUGGUGCUGACAUCACCGAGGUUGCAGGUUUGAUCCCCAUAUGGGACA